rnacentral:lncRNA from 1 species
AAAAUAUGAUAUAUAAAAGGAAACAUAUUACAAAUUAUCCCUAAUAUACAAGCACUGUAACAAGAAAGAAUAAAGGCUAUUUAGAGUAACUUUCUACAAGAAUAUGAAAGAUUACAAGAAGAUUUGCUUCAACUUUCUAAAAAAAAAUCAUAUAUUAACAUGCAGAAAAUUAAAACACAUAUCUCACAAUUAAAAUCCAUUUCCAUGGAGAAAAUUAAAACAUGCAGCCAAAAAGCAGCAGCUGUACAGAACAAAAAAAUCAACUGUUAAUGUAUUACAUAAAAUCCUUACUUAUCGAUUAUUUCAAACAUUUACACAAAUGCAAACAUUCUCAUUACCAAAAAAAAAAUUCUAGGAAAAAUGAAAACAGCCUUAUAUAAGUUCUUUUUACACUGACAAAUUUAGUUCAUUUAAAUGGUAAACUAUUUUCAUAAGUUACAAAUAACAGCUAUUAGGUUAGACCAAUGAAAACAGCCUUGUAUGACAAGAGCAACUACAAAAUAUUAUAACUAGCAAAAUCUAAAAUAAAAUAUAAUUUUCUUUUAUAUUAAAAAUAUUUUUAAUUAACAUAAAAAAUUUACUUAACUUUUAUGUCUUAUUAUAUGUAACAUUUUUAUUUUGCUUAAUAUAUAAUAAUAUUAUUAAAAUUAUCUUCUGAAUUAAAUAUAUUUUAUCAUAGUUCUUUUUGUAUAUGAUUUUUUCAACUCCUAUAUCCAUUAAUUUGUUGAAAACAUAAUAUAUUACAAAAGUAUUAAAAACACCUUGAUAUUCAUAAAAACAAUGUGUUAAUAGAGUAAAAGAGAAAUUUAAAAAUACUUAAAAUUUUAAUUCAAAUAUCCAUGUAAAGAUAAAAUGUAAAUAAAUAUGUUUUAGAGAAGAAAAUAAUAAAAUUAUAACUCAUUGAGUAUCUAAUUUGAAAAACGAUAUUUAAUAUUAAAAUUAUUGUUACAAAAUGUUUAAAUAUUUAAUUAGGAAGUGCAAUGAGAAAUUCUCAUUUGUAAUAAUUGUUUUUAUUUUUAAAAUAUCAUGCUCACACUUACCGAUACGAUGGACUAUAUUCUCCUAAUUACUAUAUAAUAUACAAGAUAUAUCAUUCAUGCAAAACAAGAGCAACUGAAAAAUAUUAUAACUAGCAAACCAAAAAAUAUAUAUAUAUAUAUAUGUAGAAUUUUCUUGUAUAUUAAGAGUAUUUUUAAUUAACUAAACAAAAUUACUGAACUUUUAUGUCUUAUUAUAUGAAACAUUUUUAUUUUUCUUAAUAUACAAUAAUAUUAUUAAAAUUACCUUCAGAAAUUAAAUAUAUUUUAUCUUAGUUCUUUUUAUAAAUGAUUUUUUCAAUUCCUAUAUCCAUUAAUUUGUUGAAAACAUAAUAUAUUACCAAAGUGUUAAAACCACCUUGAUUUUCAUAAAAACAAUGAGUAAAUAGAGUAAAGGAGAAAUUUAAAAAUACUUAAAAUUUUUAUUAAAAUAUCCAUCAUAGCAAAGAUAAAAUGUAAAUGAAUAUUUUAGAGAAGAAAAUAGUAAGAGUUAUAAUCCAUUGAGUAUCUAAUUUAAAAAUGACAUUUCAUAUUAAAAUUUUUGUUAAAAAAAGUUUAAAUGUUUAAUUAUUCCAAAAUUUUUAUGAAAUUAGCCAUAAAUUUUAAAUUCCAAAAAUAUAAAACAUACUUUAUUAUACCAGGAUAAAGUAUAUGAUAUAUACAAACAAAAGAAGAUAAAUGUUCUAUAAAAUAAAUUUCAUUAUUUUUUUUUAAUUUCUCCAACUAAUUAAACAUGAAAUUAACCAUAGAAUUUUUUUCAAAAUAUAUAUAUAUAUAUAUAUAUACUCUAUAAUACUUAAAAAAGUCCAUGAGAUACAAAUACAUAACAAAAAUUUAAAUAUGGUAGAAAUUGAAUAUAGUUUUAAAUAAAUUAAUCAUAGUAUUUUCUUUUCUAGUAUCUUUAACUCUUAAAUUAAGUAAUAUAAAANUAAAUAAUAAUAAUGAGACAUAAUUGAUAACAUUAUUGAUUGGUUACCUUAACCAUAUACAUUUAAUAUAUUUAAUGUUCAAAGUCACCUACCUAGAUUAGAGAAUGUUCUUCUUACAAAGAUAAGAAGAAAUUUUGGUGAAGAGCAUCAUAAAAAUUUUUUACUCUUUAAAUUCACUUCUCAUUUUUGGAAGAAAAGAUAUUUUUAAAUAAAUAAUUUAGAGCUAAAUUAUUCACUUCAAACAUUCAAUAUUAAGUCCGUCUUCAAAAGAGAAAAUAUAUUACUAGUUUUGUAAUUUCUUUACUCACUUUAUGUCUAACCAUAGUAGGGUUAACCUUAAAUUUAUUAAGUAUUUUUUUUGUAGUUUAAGAGUGAUGUUACUAAGUAUUUAUAUAGUUUAAGUGUUAUAUUACUAAAUAUUGAUAUCCAUAUGAGUAAUAUUUGAUGAGGCAUGUGAACAAAUAUUCCCAUAGAUUAUGUGUGUUAUUUGAACUCAUGAAUAGGCAAUUAAGUACUUCUUUUUAAUGUUUCUACUAUUUUGUAAUGAUUGAUAUUUGUUUUAUGAGAAAAGUUGUUAUAAUGUUGUGAUUAUCAAAUGAGUUUUAGAUAAGAAGGUUUAGAAAUUUUGGAAGUUGAAAAGUUAGAAUGGUGAAUGUGCUCUCUUAUUUUAAGAUAAAUUUUAAAAUCUAUUCUUCUUACUUUUAAAAUGCAUUAAGGUUAAGAAGUAUAUUUCACCAACCUGAUUUUGCUUGUAGUUUAUGUCAGUUAUUUUCUUUUUUUUUUUAUUUGAGUUUUGAUUUGGUAUAUUAUGUCAUGAGUUCAUUUUAAAAAAUAAGUUAUGUUUAUGGAGAAAAAACAAGGUGAAAAACUUACUGCUAUAUCAUAUAUCAUUAUGCCAAUUAAUUUGAUUUUAAGUCUGUUGCAGAAAAGCUUGGAGUUAAGAAAUCUUCAGAAACUUUAAAAAUUAAAUAAUAUCAAGGAUAUUAUUGUUUUACCAUCAAAUGAAAUUAGUGUGAAAAAAGAAGUACGUAAUUUUUGGAAUAUCAUGUCUAAUUGUAAAAAUUCAUGAUAAAUAAAUGAUGAUAAAUAGAAAAUGUAUUUAAUUACAAACAUAUUGUUUUAUAUCAUCAUUAAUUUAUUAUAACUUUGUAUGAUUGAACAUGAGAUAGAUAGAAAAAUACUAUUCUAUUUUUUACUAGCUUUAUUUGAUGGUAAUUGAUAUUAUUUAUUCAUAAAACUCUUAGUAAUAAUUCUUAACUAUAAACAUUUCUGCAACAGGCUUAAAAUUAAAUUUGUUGGCAUAACAAUAUAGGAGAUUAGUAGAUAGUUAUUUUUUUUCUUCUAGAAACAUAAACUUUUUUCAUAAUGAACUCAAGGAUAUAAUAUCAAUUCAGAACCCAAAUAAAAAAACAACAAAAAAAAAAAAACUCACUACAAAUACUAUAGAAUAUAAAAAGUUCAUCAUCAUGUUUAUUGACAAAUAUAAAGAUUGCAAGUUUCUCCAUACCACCUUUAUAAAAUAUUUUUCUUACCUCAUAUUUAUUCUCAUGACAAUAAGAAAUAAGUAGAAAAGUUGAACAAAUAAAUUAUUAAAUUUAAAAAUGCCUUAUUAUUGAACAAAAAUUCAUAUUUGACAUCAAAACCAAUUUAAAUUUUAGAUAAGAAAACAAUAUUAAUACGUAAUUGAUACAAUUAAGAAUAACAUAACUUUUAAAUUUAAAUUACAUAGAAAUUGGUUAUGGAAAUAUUUAUUCAAAUAUUUCAUCAAAUUAGGUAAAGAAACGGUAUGUAUAAAAUGAUUAUGGUUAGGAAUGGGUACAUGCUCUUCUUAGUUAUAAAGAUAUGAAGAAAAUUUGAUGAAGUAGAUGAUAAAAACUAUUUACUCUUUAAAUUUACUUCUCAUUUUUAGAAGAAAAGCAUUUUCAAAGGUAAUAGUUUAGAGGUAAAUUAGUCACUUCAAACAUUCAAUAUUAAGACCGUUUUUAGAAAAGAAAAUAUAUUACUAGUUUUGUAAUUUUUUUACUCACUAUUUGUCUAACCAUGGUAGGGUUAAAGUUAAAUUUAUUAAGUGUGUAUUUUUAUAGUUUAAGAGUGACUUUACUAAGUAUUUAUAUAGUUUAAGAGUGAUAUUACUAAAUAUUGUUUUGGAGAUGAGUAACAUUUGUUUAGCCAUGUGAACAAAUAUUUUCAUAAGAUUAUGUGUGUUAUUUGUUAUGAAUAGUCAAUUAAAUACUUUUUUUUUAAUGUUUCUACUUUUGUGAUGAUUGAUAUUUGUUUUAUCUAAUAAUUAAUUGAGUUUUGGACAAGAAGAUUAAGAAAUUUUGGAAGUUGAAAAGUUAGUGGUGAAUGUGUUGUUUUAUUUUAUGAAUUUUUAAAAUCUAUUCAUCUUUUUUAAUGCAUUGAGGUUGGAAAGUAUAUUUGGUCAAAGUGAUUUUGGCUUUAGUUUUUGUCAGCUAUUUUCUUUUUUUUUUCUUAUUUAUAUUUAUAGAAAAAAAAAGUGCAAAAUCUACUGGUAUAUCAUAUAUCAUUAUGCCAAUUAAUUUAAUUUUAAGUCAGAAAUGCUUACAGUUAAAAGAAUUCCAGAAACUUUAAAAUUAAAUAAAAUCAAUUUGUUUUACCAUCAAUAGAACUUAGUUUGAAAAAAAGUAUAUAAUUUUUGGGUGUAUCACAUUUCUAAAAUCUUAUGUCUAAUUAAAAAAUUCAUUAAAAAUGGAUGAUGAUAAAUAAAAAAUAUGUUUAAUUUCAAUUUAUGAGAAGAUAUUUUUGAAAUGAUCUGGAUGGUCUAUUUUCUUUAAAUUGAAAUCAAACACAUUCUUUUUUAUUAUCAUUCAUUUGAUAUGACUUUGCAUAAUUAAACAACAUAUUUUGAAAAUGAUAGAGAUAAAAAAAAUACCAUACUUAUUUUCUACUAGUAUUAUUUGAUGGUAAUUGAUAUUAUUUGUUCAUAAAAUUUUUGCAACAACCUCUCAUCCCUAAACAUUUCUGCAAGAGACUUAAAAUUAAAUUGUUAUAACAAUAUAGGAGAUUAGUAGAUUAUUUCUUCUUUUUCUUUUCACAAAUAUAAACAUUUUUCAUAAUGAACUCAAAAAUAUAAUAUCAAUUUAGAACACAAAUUAAAAAACAACAAAAACAAAAUCACAUCCUAUAAAAUAUAAAGAAUUUAUCAUGUUUAAUGACAAAGACAAGUUUCUCCAUAUCAUCUUUUUUGGAAAAUAUUUUCUUACAAUAAAGAAACCUCAUUAAAAAAAGUUGAAAAAACAAAUAUUUAACUUUAAAUAUGCCUUAACAUUAUUUACCGAAAACCCAUAUUCGAUUUUCAUAGCAUCAGAACCAAUUUAGCCUUAGACAGGUAAACGUGAUUGAUGCAUAAUUGAUAUAAUUUAGAGUAACAUAAUUAUUAAAUUUAAAUUAUAUAAUGGAAAUAUUUAUUCACAUAUUUCAUCUAAAUGUUACUUAUCCCCAAAAUAAUAUAUAUUCUAAAAUAGUACAAAUACAUGAUAUGGAUAUACAUAAUUUGCAUGUUGUUUAGAUAUAAAUGAUUAGUAAAUGGUAAAUUUAUAUUCUGAGAGAUGCCUUACCUUAUAUCAAAACUAUUUUUGCCACUGCUUUCUUCAACUGUCUCAAAUAAAAAAGAGAAAGAAUAACGAAAUGAAAAAACAUAUUUANGCAUUAAGAAAUGAAGAAUGUAAGAGUAUAUAUAACUUAGCUUUAAAAGAGAGCACAUAUAUCUUCUCUCGUUCUUCUUCUUCUCUUCUCCAACAAGGUUUUCUUUCCCUCUUUAGGUUAGAUAUGUUUUUUCUUUCUCUCAUAAAAUGAGUUUAGUUUAGUAUAUUUAAACUAUGAAACCUGUUCUCACUUCUCUCUCAUUUCGGCUUUUCAAACAAUGCACCCUUAGCACGCCCAAUACAAUUGUCUGACUUACACAGUAUCACAG